rnacentral:lncRNA from 1 species
CUGGGGGAUCUGCUUGUUUUGGCUACGGCGGAGUUCCAGUAUACUGUAAGUGUUGCGGAGAGUCGUUUCUUGAGAUUUAUGCUAAUUCUCUCAGCUAGCGUUAUGUGCGUCAGGGAAUUAUUCUGUCGAGGUUUUGUGACAACUUAACCGGAGACUGAGCAGUGAUCAGUGUGAAAGAAGAAAACAAUGAUAUCAAGAAGCCCUGAGAUCCAUCAGAAAAGUUCUCUGCCCUCUCUUCUGAAUGCUUACCUCCCACCUGAGUGCAAAAAACAGGGAGAUGGAAAACAGCAGGUUAAGGAGAAGAAGAGAAACCAUGGGGACGACUCCUUGAAAAAUCCCAAAGAGGAUGAAGAUGAUGAAGUGAAAGUCAUGAAGCAAGUCAUGCUCGACCAGCGCCACCUAGAGGCUUACAGGAACCUGCACCGGCUCAGAGAUGCGAUGUAUCUCCACUACUCGGAUUUGUUGAAACAGAAGAUCCAGAAACAGAGGAAGGAGAUGAAGCAACACAGUCUCGCUGCCCACAAACCCACAGAGAAGCCAAGAGGACAGACAGUGUCAGGACAGAGACUGGCCUUUUCCACUCUUUCUCACGAUGACCAGUACCUGCAGUCCAUCCCUAAAUCCAGCUUUUACUUGAUUGUAGAUCUCCAGAACCACUUGACCAAAUGUGGGCUUCUGAAGACCAGACAGGAUCAUGAGGAAUUCUGGAUGUUGGCGCAGCAGUACCAGCACAGAGCCCAGAAGAAGAUAAAACUCGAGGAUAUUCGAAAGAUGGUUGCGCACAAAUCUGCACCAAAUUUUACUCUAAGAAAAACCAUCCAAGAUGCACAAGGUCAGCCAAAGAUGGGUCACUUCAGCCAGGCUGAAAAAAGCUUCAAGGAAAAAAAUACUCAUUCAGAGAAAGCAGUCUGUGAAGGCACCACCCAUCAGCAUGGCAAACACGAGAGGGAACUGGACGAAAUUGAGCAAAUGUUUCCCAAGUUAAGGGUCCCCAAGUUUUUUACACUUCAGCCAGCCUUUAUGGAGCAGUACAAGGCAAUCCAUGCGCACAGUAAUUCUGAGGCGCUAAAGACCAGUAAGAAAAGAGACGUCAAUCUUCAAAAACUGCAUCACAUGUACAGCCUUUCAUUCACCAACAUGGCUUCAUCUCAGAGACUGCUGGACAAAAAUGGACAGUUUACAGACUUUGAAGAGUGCGGUGUUCAUAAUCUGAUGCGCUAUCUGUUCCCCAGUGAAUAUGAGUUAAGAGCAUCAUCAGACGAGAGUCCUGUUGGAGAGACCUUUCUUCCUCGCCUGUCUCACCCCUCUGCCAGUGUUGCUGCCUCUGGUGGUCCAGAGCUCCUUGCCAAUAUCCAGAAGGACACAAUACCCCCCAAUGAAUGGCCAGUGGCUGAAAGGAGCUCUGUGGAGUCUGAGGUGUCACUUUCCCAGCCUACUCACCUUGUGCCUUUAACCAUGGAGGAGCUUUGUCUCAGUAACCCUGUCAUGGAAGCAAAGCAACCUGGAAAAAUCUGGAUCAAUUAUCUCAAGGAUAACGCAGAUGAAUUAUCACUGAGAAAUACUGUGCUGGACACUGAAAAUGACACUCGACACUGGCUGGGUGCUUUCAACAAGCAAUGAAUUAGCAAUGCUGGAAAUGGGUGCCAUUGUUUCAUAACUGCAAGACUGUAGUAAUCAUAAAGCAAACAUUGCUUUGUGUAUCGUAGGGCUCAGAAUUGUCACGGGAAAAGAACCAUUUUGUUCAUCUUUAGAGUGUCAUGAAUUGCAAUAUUUGUAUUAUUUUACAUGCACUUUAUUUACAUAAAUACAAUUCCUUUGCAAUCAAUGCAUGGCAGAAGAUACAGCACCUGAUAGGCACAAGGUUAACUAUAGUUUACUUUAUAACUAAAUGAAAUGAAAUGAUAUGCAAAUGAUUUUAAGUCCAGCCCAGAGCCACAGUGGCUCAUCAGACUGGUUUCUAUUGCCUUAAGUGGAUUAGAGGCACAAGACUCCACCUCUUUCCCAGCUGGGAUGCUGGACCUUCACAGUAAAGCAUUUACCAGUGGUAUUAGUUCAUAUAUAAGAUAUGAAUUCAUGAGAAAUUAACUCCUUUAGUGAUAUACAGUUGCAAAUGUAUUCACAAAAGUGUACAAGAUUGUAAUUAAACAGAAUGAAUGGAUACAUGUAAAUAAAUGGAUUUUAAACUGAAGUUUUUUUUCAGCAUUAGAAAUGUAAAAGAAAAUUAUACAAAUGGAUGUUACUUUGUCCACUAUGGUACUUUCCCAAACAGUAUGUUGUAAUUCUUUUUCUCUGAGUAACUCUGAGCUUCCAUGCAGUUCACUCUGUUAUUUUUGUCCAGUGAAGAAAAUUUGCCAGCCUUUAUUCAGUUCUGAAAAGGAAUAAUAAAAAUAGUAACAGUUAAUUUGUUGGCACCAUUACUCAGUUAAUAACUAAAAGAUCUUUUAUAAAGAAAACAUAGUAGUGUAACUACAUAGUUUAUAGUAUAGACUAUAUAACCUAUGACACUGUAAAUUAUAUAACAUGGUAAAAUAUUAAACGUAUUAGAAAUGGUAAUCUGUACAUAAACACGGUAUUUCUUUAUACAACAUUUUAAUCCAUUAUUUAAAAACAUGAAGCUAACCUGCAAGAUUAUCACCAUUCUUUAUGGCCAGCUGGAUGUUCUGGGAAGAAGAGAAGAGACUCAUCACAACUUUAAUGGAAAUGUAAAAACGAAUUGCAGUACGUCAGAUCCUAAUUCAUAUAACGGGGUGUUUCCAAUCGAGGCUCCGGGGGUCCACACAGACUGUCCUCCGCAGGGGAGCACCAGACACAAAGAGGAACUUCUCACCCCGACGUACUGCAGUGUGCAAAAUCCGCACUCCCACACUGCUAAACAACGCCGCCAGUCACAUCCGGUGCUCUGAUCGUGUGAUCUUUUCGCAUUUUAUAAUUAAGAAAGGUAUCGUUUUUCAUUAUUUAGGUUAAAUCAUGACAUACGUUUACAUUCGGGGGGGCCCUUAUUCAAAGCGAUUUCUUGUAUGGUGGUCUUCUGCAAGAACAGGCAGAAUAAACUCUUGCAAUGCACAAUUCAUGAUGCGUACAAUGCACUUGUUCAUAUGCACAAAAGUUACCGUGUAUUGUUUUGAGAAUGGCUAAUCGCUUCCCUGCCCGGUGUAGGACGUGCUGGAUUCCCAAACGGGACCAUUUUCAUAUUAUCUGACUGUACUGUACCUGGUUGACACACUUAACCAUGCAUUCAACGGCGUGCAGUGAUGAACGGAUGUUCCGUAACGCUUGCAGCUCUUGCUGUAAAUAAAGAAAUGUUUUAACAUGCGAUAAAGACGGUUGAUUAGCAAUACAAACGUGUGCGUGAAGCUGUUGCAAUCAACUUGUAACCUAUAUGCAUCAAAGGGGGAAUCGGGUAUAUCCAUACCAACUGUUAUUAAACAAUAAUCCUACCUGCAGCAUUUGUAUUUCUCUGUCAUCUUUGUCGGAUGAGUCGCCUGUAUUUCGCCGAUUUUUAACGGUAGACAUUACUUUUCACCGCUUAAUCCCUUAUUUUAUUGUACUUCGUUUCGUCGGUAGAAACAGAAACCCCCACUCUUGAAAGUGCGCGCCGAUGAGACACAAGACACAAUGAGUCGAACGCAG